AGUUCGCUCUCAUUUGAACUUUCAGCACCAUCUCUUCGGUUAUCAACUCCUUGGCGGCUAUCUGUUAUGUGGAUGUGGUGUCACAGAAUUUCAUAAUGAGUGAAACUCAAGCAAUGCAUGUAACCAAAGGUCUCGCCCUUGUCAUUGGCGCUGUGAUGACAGCGUACAGUAUUCUUAUUCCCUACAUGGGCUCUGCGUCCAGGAUCAUAAUGAUGGUUGCCAGCACCACCACGGGUCCCUUCGUAGCACUGUUCCUCCUGGCCUUCAUAUUCCCUUUCGUCAAUAGCA